rnacentral:rRNA from 1 species
GACGAACGCUGGCGGCGUGCUUAACACAUGCAAGUCGAACGCUGAAGCUUGGUGCUUGCACUGGGUGGAUGAGUGGCGAACGGGUGAGUAAUACGUGAGUAACCUGCCCUUGACUCUGGGAUAAGCCUGGGAAACUGGGUCUAAUACUGGAUACGACAUGUCACCGCAUGGUGGUGUGUGGAAAGGGUUUUACUGGUUUUGGAUGGGCUCACGGCCUAUCAGCUUGUUGGUGGGGUAAUGGCUCACCAAGGCGACGACGGGUAGCCGGCCUGAGAGGGUGACCGGCCACACUGGGACUGAGACACGGCCCAGACUCCUACGGGAGGCAGCAGUGGGGAAUACUGCACAAUGGGCGGAAGCCUGAUGCAGCGACGCCGCGUGAGGGAUGACGGCCUUCGGGUUGUAAACCUCUUUCAGCACGGAAGAAGCGAAAGUGACGGUACGUGCAGAAGAAGCGCCGGCUAACUACGUG